CCUUUGCCGGCGACCGGCGCACGGGUGAGUAACACGUAUGCAACCUGCCCUCUUCAGGGGGACAACCUUCCGAAAGGGAGGCUAAUCCCGCGUAUAUCGGUUUCGGGCAUCCGAGAUCGAGGAAAGAUUCAUCGGAAGAGGAUGGGCAUGCGGCGCAUUAGCUAGACGGCGGGGUAACGGCCCACCGUGGCGACGAUGCGUAGGGGUUCUGAGAGGAAGGUCCCCCACAUUGGAACUGAGACACGGUCCAAACUCCUACGGAAGGCAGCAG
rnacentral:rRNA from 1 species